rnacentral:rRNA from 1 species
GACGAACGCUGGCGGCGUGCUUAACACAUGCAAGUCGAACGGAAAGGCCCUGCUUUUGUGGGGUGCUCGAGUGGCGAACGGGUGAGUAACACGUGAGUAACCUGCCCUUGACUUUGGGAUAACUUCAGGAAACUGGGGCUAAUACCGGAUAGGAGCUCCUGCUGCAUGGUGGGGGUUGGAAAGUUUCGGCGGUUGGGGAUGGACUCGCGGCUUAUCAGCUUGUUGGUGGGGUAGUGGCUUACCAAGGCUUUGACGGGUAGCCGGCCUGAGAGGGUGACCGGCCACAUUGGGACUGAGAUACGGUCUAGACUCCUACGGGAGGCAGCAGUGGGGAAUAUUGCACAAUGGGCGGAAGCCUGAUGCAGCAACGCCGCGUGCGGGAUGACGGCCUUCGGGUUGUAAACCGCUUUCGCCUGUGACGAAGCGUGAGUGACGGUAAUGGGUAAAGAAGCACCGGCUAACUACGUG